rnacentral:rRNA from 1 species
GCAUAGGAAUCUGCCUGUUAGUGGGGACAACCUGUGGAACGCAGGCUAAUACCGCAUACGCUCCGCAUUGAAAGAUGGGGAGGAAAGCGGGGGCUCUUCGGACCUCGCGCUAAUAGAUGAGCCUAUGUCAGAUUAGCUUGUUGGUGAGGUAAAGGCUCACCAAGGCAACGAUCUGUAGCUGGUCUGAGAGGAUGAUCAGCCACACUGGGACUGAGACACGGCCAGACUCUACGGGAGCAGCAGUGGGAAUAUGGACAAUGGGCGCAAGCCUGAUCCAGCAAUACCGCGUGUGUGAAGAAGGCCCGA